GGGGGUGCAUUGGCUUCGACGGGGGUUGCGAAAUCGACCGGUGCAUGCCGAGGGGGCCGCUUUCCUCGUAAAUCCAGCAGCAAACUCAUAGUUGCCAACGACGACAACUACGCUCUGGCCGCUUAAGGCCUAGCCCCGAACCCACUUGUGCCCGUGCUCGUGGAUGUAGGGUCAUCAUCACGGGAUCGGUGCCGGCGGCAACCCGCCAACCGGCAUUCAAAUAAAGCGGGUAUGGUUCCGGGCGUGCUUCGCACGUCGUGUUGCCCGGGGCCGAGACCAAACGGCGAGCUAAGCAUGUAGUACCGGAGAUGGAGUGCCUUCGGACGGCGGUUCGAUUCCGCCCACCUCCACCA
rnacentral:tmRNA from 1 species